rnacentral:rRNA from 1 species
GACGGAGGGUGCAAGCGUUGCUCGGAAUCACUGGGCGUAAAGGGUGCGUAGGCGGUCUCGCAAGUCGGGCGUGAAAGCCCUCGGCUCAACCGAGGAAGUGCACCCGAAACUGCUGAGCUUGAGUGCCGGAGAGGAUGGCGGAAUUCCCCCAAGUAGAGGUGAAAUUCGUAGAUAUUCGGAAGAACACCAGUGGCGAAGGCGACACACUGGCCCGUAACUGACGCUGAGGCGCGAAAGCGUGGGGAGCAAACAGG